ACUAUAAACCACACAAGCACACCGCAUUAUUACAGUUGUUUAUAUGCAAUCUUUCUACAGCCGGGAAGAUUGGUAUGGACACUAUACUGAAAAACUACUGAAACCAAAUUGAAUCGAAAAGCAACUUGAAACAAUUCCUGUAAAUGGCAGGUACGAAACAUCGGAUGGAUGUGGUCAAUUCACACAACAAAUUGAAACAACUCCUGUAAAUGACAGAUACAACUUGAAUAAAAAAUCCUGGAAACACAACUGGAAACACGAAUCCUGUAAAUGGUAGAUACAACUUGAAACGAAAUUCCUGUAAACAGAAGGAGCGAAUCGUCGAGGAUGUUAAAAUCAACACGCGACACUUGGAAACAAAAUUCCUGUAAGCAGCAGGUACGAAUCGUCGAGGAUGUUAAAAUCAACACGCGACACCUAGCAACAAAUUCCUGUAAAUGACAGGUUCGAAGCAUCGAAUGGUAAUUUAUUACACAACAAAUUGAUGGAAAUGGAAAAAGUCCUGCAGAUAGCAGGCACUCAAAGUGUCAAAAGUACACAAAUUGAUGAAAAUGGAAAAAGUCCUGCAGAUAGCAGGCACUCAAAGUGUCAAAAGUACACAAAUUGAUGAAAAUGGAAAAAGUCCUGCAGAUAGCAGGCACUCAAAGUGUCAAAAGUAUACAAAUUGAUGGAAAUGGAAAAAGUCCUGCAGAUAGCAGGCACUCAAAGUGUCAAAAGUACACAAAUUGAUGGAAAUGGAAAAAUCCUGUAGAUAGCAGGCACUUAAAGUAUCAAAUCCUGUAAGGAAAACAAGUAAAUAACACGAGAAUGUGUGUGAAAUGAAAAAUGGAAAAAUACAUUAAGAAUCGUGAAAAGAUUGAACGAAGAACGUAUUCAAUUGAUGAAUAAAUCUUUUAAAAUUGGAAGAAUAGGUUUGACUCAGUAAAUAAUCAAACUUUACAUCAUCUUGGACGCAGGAUGAAGUAAAGACAGCUUAGGCAUUUUGGACGCAAUCUGUCUGAUCGUUGGUUGUUCAUGAGUCUUAUCAAUUCGGAAGAGUUUAAAAGAAUUUGAAGUUGACUGAAUACCAGUAAAGGUCUGCAUAUGGAUAACAUUCAUUGUACUAAUAUCUGGGUCAACAACAUUGAACAGUUGGAUACCUGAAACUGUCGAGCUUGAGAUAUUGAAUAAUAUGGGUCAACGGAACAUGGUGAGACACUUGAGACAUUUAAAACUGAAAACUAAUGAAAAAAGUCGUAACUACAACCUGUGAAACAACUGAACUUGAAAACGAAUUAACCAAAUAUACAAAAAAAACAUGAGUGUUGAAAAUAUUGUGAUAUCUGAAACCAUUGACUCGAAAACAAAUGAAAAUAUGCGAGGUUGCGCUAACAAAAAUGCUUGUCGCACCAUGAUAUAUAGUAACGUUAUGACCAGCGAGACUAUUUGAAUCAAAGAAUAAAUCGAUAAUGGAAUGGCGGUCACACUUGAAAGUGACAAAAGCGGCCUUAUCAACAAACUCACACCGUCCAGAAAGUGGCAGGUCAAUAAAUGAAUCGAUACUGUAAUGGCGGUCACACUUGAAAGUGACAAAAGCGGCCUUAUCAACAAACUCACACCGUCCAGAAAGUGGCAGGUCAAUAAAUGAAUCGAUACUGUAAUGGCGGUCACACUUGAAAGUGACAAGAGCGGCCCUAUUAACAAAUCUACUGUACAGAAAGUGGCAGGAGAUAGAAAUGCAUUUCGAAUGCAAUAUCCUGUAGCAGAACGAAAAUACUGAAGA